rnacentral:rRNA from 1 species
CACUUAAGGAUGGGCCUGCGCACCAUUAGCUAGUUGGUGAGGUAAUGGCUCACCAAGGCUACGAUGGUUAGCUGAUCUGAGAGGAUGAUCAGCCACACUGGGACUGAAACACGGCCCAGACUCCUACGGGAGGCAGCAGUGGGGAAUCUUGCGCAAUGGACGCAAGUCUGACGCAGCAACGCCGCGUGGACGACGAAGGCCUUCGGGUUGUAAAGUCCUGUCGGAGGGGAAGAAAGAGUAGAUGGCUAAUAUCCAUUUAUUUUGACGGUACCCUCAAAGGAAGCACUGGCUAACCUCGUGCCAGCAGCCGCGGUAAUACGAGGAGUGCAAGCGUUGCUCGGAAUUACUGUGCGUAAAGAGAGUGUAGGCGGUCUGUUAUGUCAGGUGUGAAAGCCCAUGGUUCAACUGUGGAACUGCGCUUGAAACUGACAGACUUGAGUAUCGUAGAGGAGGGCGGAAUUCCUAGUGUAGAGGUGAAAUUCGUAGAUAUUAGGAGGAACACCGGCGGCGAAAGCGGCUCUCUAAACGUAUACUGACGCUAAGACUCGAAAGCGUGGGGAUCAAACAGGAUUAGAUACCCUGGUAGUCCACGCCGUAAACGAUGGGUACUAGGUGUUGGGAUUUAUCUCAGUGCCGAAGCUAACGCAUUAAGUACCCCGCCUGGGGAGUACGGUCGCAAGAUUAAAACUCAAAGGAAUUGACGGGGGCCCGCACAAGCGGUGGAGCAUGUGGUUUAAUUCGACACUACGCGAAGAACCUUACCAGGGCUUGACAUCCCGAGAAGUCUCUAGAAAUAGAGAUGUGUCCCCUCACGGGGAAGCUUGGAGACAGGUGCUGCAUGGCUGUCGUCAGCUCGUGUCGUGAGAUGUUGGGUUAAGUCCCGCAACGAGCGCAACCCAUAUCUUUAGUUGCCAUCAUUUAGUUGGGCACUCUAAAGAGACUGCCGGCGUUAAGCCGGAGGAAGGUGUGGAUGACGUCAAGUCCUCAUGGCCUUUAUGUCCUGGGCUACACACGUGCUACAAUGGAUGCUACAAAGGGUUGCCAACCCGCGAGGGGGAGCCAAUCCCACAAAAGCAUCCUAAGUUCGGAUUGGAGUCUGCAACUCGACUCCAUGAAGCUGGAAUCGCUAGUAAUCCUGGAUCAGAACGCCAGGGUGAAUACGUUCCCGGGCCUUGUACACACCGCCCGUCACACCACGAAAGCUGUUUCUACCAGAAGCCGAUGAGCUAACGUAAGAGGCAGUCGUCCAAGGUAGGGAUGGUGAUUGGGGUGAAGUCGUAACAAGGUA